GACCAAAAAUCCAGCCUAUAAUAAUAUUAUAACCCCCUACCUCAACAUACUUAUUACAUAAAACAUUUUAACUUUUCUAGUAGAGGUGAUCAAACAACAUACAAGCGCUUAAGAGAUAGUACCGAAAGGGAAAGAUGAAAUAAAAAUUAAAUAACUUUAAAGUCAACUAAAGCAGAGAUUUAAACUCGUACCUUUUGCAUCAUGGUCCAGCCAGUCCAACCAAGCAAAGAAAUUUUUAGUUUGGAACCCCGAAACUAAGCGAGCUACUUCAAAACAGCUUCAAGAGCCAACCCAUCUCUGUGGCAAUAGAGUGGGAAGAUUUUCAAGUAGCAGUGAAAGGCCAAACGAGCUUAGAGAUAGCUGGUUGUUCAGGAAAAGAAUAUUAGUUCUGCCUUAAAUUUUCUUAUGCCACUAAACAAACCUUAAAAAUUUAAGAGUUAUUCAACUAAGGCACAGCUUAUUUGAAACAGGGUACAACCUACACACCAGGGUAAAAUGCUAAAUCUUAUUCCAAGUGGGCCUAAGAGCAGCCAUCUUUUAAAAAGCGUUAAAGCUUAACCAAUUUAUUCAUAAAUUCCACAAAUUUUCAUGAACCCACACCUGAUACUGAACGACCCCAUAAAAAUAUGGGAAACAUUAUGCUGGAACCAGUAACAAGAAUAUAACAUUCUCCUCAAUGCAAGCAUAAGCCAAAAUAGAUUAACUACUGGCUAUUAACGAUAAUGAACAAACUACAGCAACACAACAAGAAAACCCUGUACCACCCCUCUCGUUAACCUAACACUAGAGCAUUUCAGGAAAGAUUAAAAGAGGAAGAAGGAACUCGGCAAAUUUUAACCCCGCCUGUUUACCAAAAACAUCGCCUCUUGACAACUAUAAGAGGUCCAGCCUGCCCAGUGAUAAAUUCAACGGCCGCGGUAUCCUAACCGUGCGAAGGUAGCAUAAUCACUUGUUCUUUAAAUAGGGACUCGUAUCAACGGCAUCACGAGGGUUACACUGUCUCCUUCCUCCAAUCAGUGAAACUGAUCUCCCCGUGAAGAAGCGGGGAUAAACUAAUAAGACGAGAAGACCCCAUGGAGCUUUAAAUCUCACUGCAACUCUAGCACUUAAUUCCUCUACAACCCUCAGAGAAAUGCACGUCGGUUUUAGGUUGGGGUGACCGCGGAGUAAAAACUAUCCUCCACGACGAAAAGAACUAAAUCUUUAUCUAAGAGCAACCACUCUAAGAACUAGCAUACUAACGAAUAAUGACCCGAUAAUCGAUCAACGGACCAAGUUACCCUGGGGAUAACAGCGCAAUCUACUUCAAGAGCCCAUAUCGACAAGUAGGCUUACGACCUCGAUGUUGGAUCAGGGUACCCCAGUGGUGCAGCCGCUACUAACGGUUCGUUUGUUCAACGAUUAAAAC
rnacentral:rRNA from 1 species